rnacentral:rRNA from 1 species
AGUGAACGCUGGCGGUAGGCCUAACACAUGCAAGUCGAACGGCAGCACAGUAAGAGCUUGCUCUUACGGGUGGCGAGUGGCGGAAGGGUGAGGUAUACAUCGGAAUCUACUUUUCGUGGGGGAUAACGUAGGGAAACUUACGCUAAUACCGCAUACGACCUACGGGUGAUAGCAGGGGAUCUUCUGACCUUGCGCGAUUGAAUGAGCCGAUGUCGGAUUAGCUAGUUUGCGGGGUAAAUGACCACCAAGGGGCCGAGCCGUAGCUGGUCUGAGCGGAACGACAGCCACCCUGUAAGUGAGACACGGCCCAGACACCUACGGGAGGCCGCAGUGGGGAAUAUUGGACAAUGGGCGCAAGCCUGAUCCAGCCAUACCGCGUAGGUGAAGAAGGCCUUCGGGUUGGAAAGCCCUUUUGGUGGGAAAGAAAAGCAGCAGGUUAACACCCCGCUGUUCUGACGGUACCCAAAGAAUAAGCACCGGCUAACUUCGUG